UCUUUGCGAGUUUGCAUGUGAUGUUGUAAUAUCACGGACCUGUACGCAUUACAACAGUGAACGAUACGUGAUUACUGAUCAAACUCUUGAACAUUUUUAUAUUAUUUGUGGACGAACAAACGAGACGAUUUUGCAUUGAUAUUAACUAAUCCUAUCUUCUUUGAUUGCAGGUUAUGUAGCUGAUUCCAUCUCCUCUAAUCCGCUGUAUUCGGCAUUAAUUCCAAAAAGAAUCUUGUGCAAUAGUCCAACAUAUAUUGCACACUAUUAUGAAAUCCAUUCAUCAUGCUGUGAAUCAUCGAUCAUCUUUUGUUCAUGAGUUUCAGGUUUUAGCUGCCUUCAGCAUGAUCUUACCGGGGAAAUCAUCAUAUUGCAAGGAAAGGUAUUUCACCAUAUAUCACAAUUUUUAGAGUAUAAGUGGGUUACCGUUGGGGUUUUUUCAAUAAAGUUUUCAUACAACAAACUAA